rnacentral:rRNA from 1 species
AAAUUUCUCAAAAUUAUUUAUUCAAAUUUAUAAUAAAUGUAAAAAUACAUUUAUAAAACAGAAAGACGAUAAGACCCUAUUGAACUUAACUUCAGUUAAACUGGGGAAGUAAAUUAAUUAUUAUUUUAUAUAAAAUACAACUACAAUAAUCCAAUACUAAUGAAUUAUCAAGUUACCAUAGGGAUAACAGCGUAAUCACUUUUUAAAGACCUCAUAUAAAAUAUAGUUUACGACCUCGAUGUUGAAUUAAUUUACCUAAAUAAAGCAAGAUUUAAAUAAGGAAGUCUGUUCGACUUUUUAAAAAUUACACGAUUUGAGUUCAAACCGGUAUAAGCCAGGUUGGUUUCUAUCUUCUAUAUAAAUUUUUAUAGUACGAAAGGGCCUAAAAAUUUAAUUUUAUUAAUUAAUUGGCAGAAAAAUGCAUUAGAAUUAGAAUCUAAUUAAACUUUA